rnacentral:rRNA from 1 species
UACGUAGGGACCAAGCGUUGUUCGGAUUUACUGGGCGUAAAGGGCGCGUAGGCGGCAAUUCAAGUCAUCUGUGAAAUCUCCGGGCUUAACUCGGAACGGUCAGAUGAUACUGCUUUGCUAGAGUGCGGAAGGGGCAAUCGGAAUUCUUGGUGUAGCGGUGAAAUGCGUAGAUAUCAGGAGGAACACCGAUGGCGAAGGCAGAUCUCUGGGCCGUAACUGACGCUGAGGAGCGAAAGCAUGGGGAGCGAACAGG